rnacentral:rRNA from 1 species
AGAGUUUGAUCCUGGCUCAGGAUGAACGCUAGCGGCAGGCUCAACACAUGCAAGUCGAGGGGCAUCGGGAGGGAAGCUUGCUUUCCUUGCCGGCGACCGGCGCACGGGUGAGUAACACGUAUGCAACCUGCCCUCUUCAGGGGGACAACCUUCCGAAAGGGAGGCUAAUCCCGCGUAUAUCGGUUUCGGGCAUCCGAGAUCGAGGAAAGAUUCAUCGGAAGAGGAUGGGCAUGCGGCGCAUUAGCUUGACGGCGGGGUAACGGCCCACCGUGGCGACGAUGCGUAGGGGUUCUGAGAGGAAGGUCCCCCACACUGGUACUGAGACACGGACCAGACUCCUACGGGAGGCAGCAGUGAGGAAUAUUGGUCAAUGGGAGAGAUCCUGAACCAGCCAAGCCGCGUGAGGGAAGACGGCCCUAUGGGUUGUAAACCUCUUUUGUCGGAGAACAAAACCCGGGACGUGUCCCGGACUGCGUGUAUCCGAAGAAAAAGCAUCGGCUAACUCCGUGCCAGCAGCCGCGGUAAUACGGAGGAUGCGAGCGUUAUCCGGAUUUAUUGGGUUUAAAGGGUGCGUAGGCGGUCCGUUAAGUCAGCGGUAAAAUUGCGGGGCUCAACCCCGUCGAGCCGUUGAAACUGGCAGACUUGAGUUGGCGAGAAGUACGCGGAAUGCGCGGUGUAGCGGUGAAAUGCAUAGAUAUCGCGCAGAACUCCGAUUGCGAAGGCAGCGUACCGGCGCCAGACUGACGCUGAGGCACGAAAGCGUGGGGAUCGAACAGGAUUAGAUACCCUGGUAGUCCACGCAGUAAACGAUGAAUGCUGGGUUGUCGGGUCGAAUGAAAACCUGGGCG